rnacentral:rRNA from 1 species
CAGUAGCCGCGGUAAAACGAAGGGUGCAAGCGUUACUCGGAAUUACUGGGCGUAAAGCGUGUGUAGGUGGUUGUUUAAGUCUGUCGUGAAAGCCCUGGGCUCAACCUGGGAAUUGCGAUGGAUACUGGGCGACUAGAGUGCGGUAGAGGAUAGUGGAAUUUCCGGUGUAGCAGUGAAAUGCGUAGAGAUCGGAAGGAACAUCUGUGGCGAAGGCGACUAUCUGGGCCAACACUGACACUGAGACACGAAAGCGUGGGGAGCAAACAGGAUUAGAUACCCCCGUAGUCCCUGUCUCUUAUAC